GAUGAACGCUGACAGAAUGCUUAACACAUGCAAGUCGAUGGGGAAGUCGUGCUUGCACCAUGGCAACCAUGGCGGACGGGUGAGUAACGCGUAAGGGACUUACCUGCAGGACUGGGAUAACAGGGGGAAACUCCUGACAAGACCGGAUAAUGUCAUGGAGCUGCAUGGCUUUAUGAUGAAAGGAUACGCCUGCGGAGAGCCUUUCGUCCUAUUAGCUAGUUGGUGAGGUAAUGGCUCACCAAGGCGAAGAUAGGUAGCCGGCCUGAGAGGGUGGACGGCCACAAGGGGACUGAGAUACGGCACUUACUCCUACGGGACGCAGCAGUGGAGAAUAUUGGACAAUGGGGGCAACCCUGAUCCAGCAAUUCUGUGUGCACGAAGAAGGUUUUCGGAUUGUAAAGUGCUUUCAGCAGACAAGAAGUAAGUGACGGUACCUGCAGAAGAAGCGACGGCUAAAUACGUG
rnacentral:rRNA from 1 species